rnacentral:rRNA from 1 species
UACGGAGGGUGCAAGCGUUAUCCGGAUUCACUGGGUUUAAAGGGUGCGUAGGUGGGUUGGUAAGUCAGUGGUGAAAUCUCCGUGCUUAACAUGGAAACUGCCAUUGAUACUACUGAUCUUGAAUUUUCGGGAGGUAAGCGGAAUAUGUCAUGUAGCGGUGAAAUGCAUAGAUAUGACUUAGAACACCAAUUGCGAAGGCAGCUUGCUAAACAAAUAUUGACGCUGAGGCACGAAAGCGUGGGGAUCAAACAGG